GGGGCUGCAAGGGGCGCCCCAAGUAGGAGGGAUCCUACUUGGGCGCCUCCUCCAAGUCGGCCUCCCCCCUUCCAUAUACAUCGGAGGGGGAAGGAAAGAGAGGGGGAGAGAAGAAAAUGGGGAGGCUGAAUCCUCCCCUUUCCUU
rnacentral:sRNA from 1 species